ensembl:lncRNA LINC00685 long intergenic non-protein coding RNA 685
AUAACGGGGCUCGUCUUUCUACGUUACUUUAUGUGGGAGUAGUUGUAAAACAGAAUGAGGGAGACCGCGGGGAUUGUGCGGAAAUGUAGCCACCGUUUACAUGUCGGGAGGCUGAGGUGGGAGGAUCGCUUGAGCCCAGGAGUUUGACACCAGCCUGGGCAACAUGGUAAGACCCCUUCUCUACCCUCCCCCCCAAAAAAAAAAUUUUAGUGUGGCAUGGUGGUGGGUGCCUGUGGUCCCAGCUACUCGGGACGCUGAGGUGGGAGGAUUGCUUGAGCCCAGGAGUUUGACACCAGCAUGGGCAAUAUGGUAAGACCCCAUUAUCUACAAAAAAAAAAAAAAAAGAAAAGCCGGGCGUGGUGGUGGGUGCCUGUGGUCCCAGCUGCUCGGGACGCUGAGGUGGGAGGAUUGCUUGAGCCCAGGAGUUU